AUGGAGUGUGGUUUGAAAUCCCUGAGCAGCAGCUCCUCCUCCGCAGCGUCGCCUUCUCUGAUGAUGGCCUGCAGGCCGUUCCCGCAGCCGCCGCUCCUGCCCCUGCCGCAGCACCUCCAGGCCUCGCCGGCACCGGCAGGCCGCCAGGUCGACCUCCCGCGCGCCAACAAGAGCCCCAAGAAGCCGGCGAGCGGGGCGGCAUCGGCGCCCAUCGUGGUAGCGGCGCCGCCUAUGUCGGCGUGGGCGUCGAUGGACUCGAUGUACUCGGUGUCGCCGCCGCCGAGCAGCGUCCCGAUGCCGACGUCGCUGCUGCUGGCCGCCGGCGCCGGGCGGAAGAAGGUGCCGACCCCGUGCGCUGUGCAGGUGGCUGGCGCUGGCGGGGGCGUGGACGUCGGCGCCACCGACGAGCUCCGCCGCCUGCUCCGGCUCUAG
rnacentral:rRNA from 1 species